rnacentral:rRNA from 1 species
CCUACGGGAGGCAGCAGUGAGGAAUAUUGGUCAAUGGCCGAGAGGCUGAACCAGCCAAGUCGCGUGAGGGAAGACGGCCCUACGGGUUGUAAACCUCUUUUGUCGGGGAGCAAAGCGAGCCACGUGUGGUUCAUUGAGAGUACCCGAAGAAAAAGCAUCGGCUAACUCCGUGCCAGCAGCCGCGGUAAUACGGAGGAUGCGAGCGUUAUCCGGAUUUAUUGGGUUUAAAGGGUGCGCAGGCGGAGGUGCAAGUCAGCGGUAAAAUUGGGGGGCUCAACCCCGUACUGCCGUUGAAACUGGAUGUCUUGAGUGCAGGAGAGGUAGGCGGAAUGCGUGGUGUAGCGGUGAAAUGCAUAGAUAUCACGAAGAACUCCGAUUGCGAAGGCAGCAUACCGGAGCGCCACUGACGUUCAUGCACGAAAGUGUGGGUAUCGAACAGGAUUAGAUACCCGAGUAGUC